UUUCUACCUUCAGAAUAUAAACAGAAUCAGACAAUUUAUUAUAACCUGCAGGUGACCGGUCUAAGUCACCUGCAUUUCUCCCUUAUAACAACAACCUCCUAACUGGCCUCCCUAAUUUCAUCCUUGUCUUUUUACAGGUAAUUCUCAACGUGGCAUUCUCUUGCUUUAUGGCCUUUGUUCUUGCUCUUUUCUUAGUCUAGAAUGUUCUUCCUUUUGAUAUUCCUAUAGCUUGCUCCUUCAUUUCCUUUGUCUUUGUUCAGAUGCUAUCUUUGUGGUGAGACCUGUUCUGAUUAAGCAAUUUAAAAUCUGACCCACUAACAUUCUCCAUUCCCUUACCCUAAUUUAGUUUACUUCCUACUCUGUACUCUUUGAAUAUAUUAUAUAAUUUACUUGUGUUUAUAUUGUCUGUCUUCCCCCAACUAGAAUAUAAGCUACAUAAGGGCAGGAAUCUGUUUUGGUCACUGCUAUAUCUCUAGCACCUAGGACAGUGCACAGCAUAUGACAAUAGAAAUAUAUGUUGAAUUAAUGAAUAGUCAUAGAGACAUACAUUUAAACAUAUUAUUAUAACAUCAUGGGCUAAAUGCUAAUAACAGACAAAUGUGCAAAGUGCUGUUGAUGAAAACCAUUAAGUGACUGCCACACUUUUCAACCUUUGCUUGGUUUGUUUCCUCAUUUGGAAGGCUUCCUUUGACUGCCAUACUACCCUAACCAUACCAAGUCUUUAGGGACCAUCCUCCAUGAUGCCUUUCUUGGGGCACUCUUUUUCUCUCUGCUUUGAACCACACAUGGGAGCUUAGAAGCUCCCAUGGCACUUAUUUAACACUAUCUUGAACCAGAAACAUUCAUAUUCUUGUCUUCUGCCUGCAUGCUAAAUUACAAACUCCUUAGGAGCAGUGAUUUCAUCUUUUUCAUCUUUGAAUCCUUACACAGAAUCUCAUUCAGUGCUGUGCAUAAAGUUCUCAAUAAAUGCUGUAAAAAUAAAUUAAUACGCUGUCAAUUCUACUUGCUUUAAUGGAAUUAUUUUAUUGUCCUGAAGUCCAUUACCUGAAAAUAAUCGAUAAAGCCACUUGUAUUGGCUUUCCUAGCCAGGGAAUGCCUCUUGAAAUCUAGACUAAGAUUAAAGUUACUGCAGAAAUUUAAACAUUCAGAAUCAAUCUCCAAGGAAAUGGUAAUUUUCAGUGUGAUACACUUCUAUUUAAGAUUGCCUUUAAAAUGAAUAUAUAAGUCCUGAGGACUGGCUGUUUAACUUUCAAGAAUCACAAAGCAGAAUUGAAUUCACAGACUAACACAAAGGCGGGUGUCACUUGAAGUGACUGUCCUAAGCAAUUUUAAAGUCCAGUUGUUUUUUUUUUUUUUUCUGUGAGCAUACAUCUCAAAUUUAAAAGACAGUGGAAAACUAAGAUUUUAUUUAAGUCCUAGGUACAACUUUCCAGAACUUUUUGGAAGCACAGGAGGGAACAAUAUUCUUCAACCUCCAAAAAAAGAUGUCUUUCAGGAACUUGCAGCAGCCCCUGUCCAGUUCAAGCCAGUUGAGACCCUCUGGCUGAGCCUGCACAGAUGUCUGAAAAGUGACCUUUUGAUGUCAGAGGGCCCAAAACUCCAGCCUCAGAUCAUGCUAAUGCUGCCAUUUUCUGAACAUGUGACCUGUGAAGAGCCAUGAACCCUGACUAUGCUUAGUGCUGGAUCAAUGAUUACCUCAUUUUUUCGCACUGCCAAUUACCUUUCCACAUGCUUUUUAUCACCCUGCUUCUUUAUUGAAUAAAUAUUCCUAAGUCUUAUCUUCAGGAAGUUGGAUUUGAGAGCUGUUCUACUGUCUCCUUCCCUGGCUGUCCUGUGAAUAAAUUUUUUCUCUACUGCAAAA